GGUGAAGCUCCGGCGAGUUCUCUGGUGACCAAUCUGGUUCUGUAUGUCAAUAAAUCUUAUUGACAGGUGGUUCUCCACUACAUUCAGUUUCCGAAAGACCAAACAAUUUAGAACCCAGAUAUUCAAACCCCUUUCAAUUCACAGAUCACAAAACGAGAAGUUACAUUAGUCAUCAACAGAAAUACUAAAACCUUAAUUCUCCAUCACGUUGAUCUGUUGUUGAUCAUUGUUGUUUCAGGUUCUUGGACCAUGACAAAAUUAAUGUUGAUUACGUGGGGCAAAUUUUGAGUUCAUACCAUAUGGUUCUGGUCGAAGAAUGUGUACAGCUAUACCCCUCGCGUCACGGGUGCUUCCACUCGCUUUAGGUACGCUUUUGCACAAGUUUGAUUGGUUUUGGGCGAUGGACUUAAACCGAUGGAAAUGGAUAUGAGGGAAAGAAU